rnacentral:rRNA from 1 species
AUUGAACGCUGGCGGCAUGCUUUACACAUGCAAGUCGGACGAGUGGCGAACGGGUGAGUAAUAUAUCGGAACGUACCGAGUAAUGGGGGAUAACUAAUCGAAAGAUUAGCUAAUACCGCAUAUUAUUCGAGCGGCAGAUAUCUGAUUAGCUAGUUGGUGGGGUAAAGGCCGACAAAGGCGACGAGCAGUAGCGGGUCUGAGAGGAUGAUCCGCAGCACUGGGACUGAGACACGGCCCAGACUCCUUCGAGAGGCAGCAGUGGGGAAUUUUAGACAAUGGGCGCAAGCCUGAUCCAGCCAUGCCGCGUGUCUGAAGAAGGCCUUCGGGUUGUAAAGGACUUUUGUCAGGGAAGCGGUACCUGAAGGAUAAGCACCGGCUAAGGACGUAACAGCAGCCGCGGUAAUUC